UACGUAGGGUGCAAGCGUUGUCCGGAAUUAUUGGGCGUAAAGAGCUCGUAGGCGGUUUGUCGCGUCUGCUGUGAAAACUCAGGGCUUAACCCUGAGCCUGCAGUGGGUACGGGCAGGACUAGAGUGUGGUAGGGGAGAUCGGAAUUCCGUGGUGUAAGCGGUGGAAUGCGCAGAUAUCAGGAGGAACACCGGUGGCGAAGGCGGAUCUCUGGGCCAUAACUGACGCUGGAGGAGCGAAAGCAUGGGGAGCGAACAGG
rnacentral:rRNA from 1 species